AACUAUGUGCCAGCAGCCGCGGUAAUACAUAGGAUGCAAGCGUUAUCCGGAUUUACUGGGCGUAAAGCGAGCGCAGGCGGAUUUGCAAGUCUGGUGUUAAAUACAAUCGCUUAACGAUUGUAUGCAUUGGAAACUGCAAGUCUAGAGUAUAGUAGGGAGUUUUGGAACUCCAUGUGGAGCGGUGGAAUGCGUAGAUAUAUGGAAGAACACCAGUGGCGAAGGCGAAAACUUAGGCUAUUACUGACGCUUAGGCUCGAAAGUGUGGGGAGCAAAUAGGAUUAGAUACCCUAGUAGUCCACACCGUAAACGAUGGUAAUUAAAUGUUGGCACGGAAUGUGUCGGCGUUGCAGUUAACACAUUAAAUUACCCGCCUGGGUAGUACAUUCGCAAGAAUGAAACUCAAACGGAAUUGACGGGGACCCGCACAAGUGGUGGAGCAUGUUGCUUAAUUCGACAAUACACGUAAAACCUUACCUAGGUUUGACAUCUCCUGCAAAGCUAUAGAGAUAUAGUGGAGGUUAACAGGAUGACAGGUGGUGCAUGGUUGUCGUCAGCUCGUGUCGUGAGAUGUUGGGUUAAGUCCCGCAACGAGCGCAACCCUUAUCGUUAGUUACUUUAUCUAGCGAGACUGCCAGCGUAAGCUGGAGGAAGGUGGGGAUGACGUCAAAUCAUCAUGCCCCUUAUAUCUAGGGCCGCAAACGUGCUACAAUGGUCGGUACAAACUGUUGCAAACCAGUAAUGGGGAGCCAAUCAGAGAAAGCCGAUCUCAGUUCGGAUUGAGGGCUGCAAUUCGCCCUCAUGAAGUUGGAAUCACUAGUAAUCGCGAAUCAGACAUGUCGCGGUGAAUACGUUCUCAGGUCUUGUACAC
rnacentral:rRNA from 1 species